rnacentral:rRNA from 1 species
ACCAUGAUGUGUAGCUGGACUGAGAGGUUGAACAGCCACAUUGGGACUGAGACACGGCCCAAACUCCUACGGGAGGCAGCAGUAGGGAAUUUUCGGCAAUGGAGGAAACUCUGACCGAGCAACGCCGCGUGAACGAUGAAGUAUUUCGGUAUGUAAAGUUCUUUUAUUGAAGAAGAAAGAAUAGUGGAAAAACUAUCUUGACGAUAUUCAAUGAAUAAGCCCCGGCAAACUAUGUGCCAGCAGCCGCGGUAAUACAUAGGGGGCGAGCGUUAUCCGGAAUUAUUGGGCGUAAAGGGUGCGUAGGCGGUUUAAUAAGUCUAUAGUUUAAUUUCAGUGCUUAACACUGUCCUGCUAUAGAAACUAUUAGACUAGAGUGAGAUAGAGGCAAGUGGAAUUCCAUGUGUAGCGGUAAAAUGCGUAAAUAUAUGGAGGAACACCAGAGGCGUAGGCGGCUUGCUGGGUCUUUACUGACGCUGAGGCACGAAAGCGUGGGGAGCAAACAGGAUUAGAUACCCUGGUAGUCCACGCCGUAAACGAUGAGUACUAAGUGUCGGGAUUACUCGGUACUGAAGUUAACACAUUAAGUACUCCGCCUGAGUAGUACGUACGCAAGUAUGAAACUUAAAGGAAUUGACGGGACUCCGCACAAGCGGUGGAUCAUGUUGUUUAAUUCGAAGAUACACGAAAAACCUUACCAGGUCUCGACAUACUCUGCAAAGCUAUAGCAAAUAUAGUGGAGGUUUAUCAGGGAUACAGGUGGUGCAUGGUUGUCGUCAGCUCGUGUCGUGAGAUGUUAGGUUAAGUCCUAAAACGAGCGCACCCC